rnacentral:lncRNA from 1 species
GGAAUGUGUUUUGAAGUUGAAGAAUUGAAGAUACAAAGUUUCCUAGUUGAAGUAGGAAAGGGCUUACACGAAGAAUUCCUAAAUGGAGAAGGAUUCCUAAUCAAUGUAGGAGUCCUAAAUGAAGAUGGAUUCCUAGAGACAUGAAGUUUCCUACUCAAGCAAGGUUUCCUACAUGAAGAAGAAGAAUUAAAGCCAAAGAAUCAGCUCAAGAUAAGGAAUCUAUCCAAAACCUCAUCAUAACCUUAUCUUAGCUUAACUUAUCCAAACAAACCUUAUCCUAUCUUAUCUUAUCCUAAUCCUAAAUUAUCCACAUUCCAGCCACUUAGGAGGGUUUCUAACUAGAUUAGGAUGCUUAAAAUGGGAUUUCUAGAAGACCUAAUCCUUUCCUACAAAGGUGCCACACCUUAUCCCUUGUUUUUCUAGAAAUCAGCCACAAAAUAACCUUUCUAGAAGGCCUUAUCCCUUCUCCUACAAAAGUGACGCCCCAAACCUUUCUAGGACUCCUAGAAACCUGAUUAUUCCUUUCCCCCUUGGUUUCUAAAAGCCUUAGCCUUUUCCUUCAAGGAUUGUGUGUUAUUAUCCUAUACAAAUUAGGCUUUUAAAUCCUUUUCCUUUGCUACAUAGGGGCUGCGAAUUUCAGCCUAUAAAUACCACCCUUUGCUGCACCAUUUAGUCACCCUCCUCUACCAUAUUUUCACUACACCAUUCACCCAAACAUCCCUCAUUGUGCCGUGAGUUUGCAAGGAAAAGAAGGAAGAACUCUUGGAGCCGUGCAUGCCAUUCAAGGAGCUUGGAUUGUGGAGCGAUUCUAGGUGUUUUCUAUCUUUGUUAGAAUGUUUAAAUUUAUUUAUCUUUGUUUAUUUGCGAACAUGAGGAACUAAUUUCUUUAUAGUUAGAGGGGAAUUCAAAGCCAUGAUCAUAUGUUUUAUAUGACUUGAUUACCUCCAGUUAUGAUUUCAUGAAUCGUGAAUGUGGUUUACUUAUCUAUUUGAUUGAUAACUUGUUCUUGUGUGUUAAUUAAGGAUGCAUACUUAGUUCGCAUGCAUGAAUUUGAUGCUAGAGUAUAAGGGAAUUUCACCUAAUCGUUAUUAACUUAUAUUCAUAAGUAGUAAAAGUCGCUAGUCACGAUUGUGUUAAGUAAAUCCUUGGCAAAAGUAACAUGCGUAUCCCAUAGUUAUGAAUGCUUCGUCAAUGCUUAUGAUUUCCAUUGAACUUAAUGAUCUUUGAUAUGUGUCUCUAUCAUGCGUAUUCCAUAGUUAGGGUCCUUGAUAAGAAUAAUUUGGUUGUAAUGCGUAUCCCAUUCAAUUCAAUGAAUCUAGGGAAAUCUGAGAAUUAAUUGGUCAAUCUAGUUAAUUUGGGGCAUUGUCAUUCAUGGUUUAUUGAAAGAGUAAUUGGAAAUCAAGUCGUAUGCAUAUGUUUCAUGUGUGGAGAAGGAACCUUCUAACUAGCCUUUCACCAUCUUAAUUUUCAUCAAAACGUUUUUGUCUAAGUUUGUUUUCAAAGUUUCUGUUUUCAAAGUUAAAUUCGUCCAAAAUCAAUCCCCCUUUACUUAGUUGAGUCAUAGUAGUUAGAAAUCACUUUAGUUUGUGUUUUUAAGUGUCUUAGGUCAAGUUAAAACCAAUUUUCGUCCAAGUUUGUGUCUAGUGUUCAAAACUGCCCAGAUUGUGGUUUUAAGGCAGUUUUGAGUGUUUUUGGGCUGUUUUGAGUCUUUUGGUUUGUUUUGGUGUUUUAAAGUUUAGUUUUGCAUUCUUUGAGUCUAGUUUAGUGUUUUAAACUUGUUUUUACGUAUUUGAGUCAGUUUUCAAGUGAUUUUGCAAUCCCUCCUAAUCCCCGGUUUAGAACGAUCCCUACUUACAUACUUUGCUACAAUUGAUAAAAAGAGGGUUAAUUUGAGUGUCAACAUAAUUUUCACAUCAAAUUUUGGCGCCGUUGCCGGGGAUUAGCAACUUUGCUAAUCCCUUGGAUUGUUAUUUUCGUUUUUCUUAGUAGAUCAGAUUCUUAUGUUAUUUUGUUUCUUGUUUUAGGUACUUGUUUAUGACCCGGAGUUCUAAUCCGGUUCACGAACAUAUUUUAGACUUUGACGACGAUUUUGAGCGUGAGUUGAGACGGAAGAGGAAGAACCCGGAACCUAGUAAAUCAAGUGCAAGUUCCGAGUCCGUUUCUGAAUUUGAAGAGGAAGUGGAAGACAUGGCAGUGGACAACCCGAACGAUCAAGGAGCUUUCCGCUUCGGGAUUGGAUAAUGCCGCACCUCUAUGUAUCCAAUACCCUAGGGCAGCUCCGAACAAAACUGCCGAGUUCGAAUUGAAGUCAAGCUUGUUACAUCACAUUCCGAAGUACCAUGGGUUGUCCAUGGAAGAUCCGAACAAGCAUUUGAAGGAGUUUGAAGUCGUUUGCUCAAGCAUGACUCCGGUGAACGUGGAUGAGAGCAUCUUGAAGAUGAAGGCCUUCCCCUUUUCUCUCCAAGAGAAGGCGAAAGAUUGGUUGUACGAAUUGGCUCCCGGAACCGUCACAUCAUGGGAGAGCAUGAAACGAGCGUACUUGGAGAAGUUUUUCCCAACUUCUCGAGUCAUCCUCCUACGAAAAAGGAUAAGUGGAAUUCAACAAGAUGAAGGUGAGUCGUUUCCUACAUAUUAUGAACGUUUUAAAUCUCUUGUUGCUUCAUGUCCACAGCAUCAAAUGAAGGAGGAACUACUUCUACAAUACUUCUACGAGGGACUUCUACCAAUUGAACGUCAAAUGCUAGAUGCCUCAGCGGGAGGAGCAUUGGUGGACAAGACCCCUACGGCUGCAAAGAUAUUGAUUGCCAAUCGUGCGUUGAAUGCCCAACAAUACGAAGGCGUUGGACAAAGGAGCAACCCACGGCAACACCAAAUCAAUGAGGUAAGUGCCAUAACCGAACUUCAAAAUCAAAUGGCUAACCUUGCUACUUUGCUUUCUCAGGUGGUGGAAGGUCCAAAAGUGCAAAACGUGGCAGUUUGUGGCAUAUGCUCCACGCACGGACACCUUACGGACAAGUGCCCACAAUUGAUAGAAAAUGGAGGGUGGGAGACCCUCAAUGCCGUGGGAUUUGGCAACCAAUACCAACCGAGGAAUGACCCCUUCUCUAAUACCUACAAUCCCGGUUGGAGAGAUCAUCCAAAUUUCAAAUGGCGAGAACCCCAACAAGGCCAACAACAAAGCACAUUUAGGCAACAACCCCCGGGUUUCUAUCAAAAGCCGUUUGCAACCACACAACCUCAAGCACAACCCACCCAAACCAAUUCAGGUUCGUCCAUUGAUAAUGAUCAGAUUUUUCAAUUACUAACUUCUAUGGCGCAGGGUAUGCAAAAUAGAGACAAAAGGAUGGAUGAGUUAGAGAAGCAAGUAGGGCAGAUUGCGGAGUUCAUGGGCCAAUUUCGAGAGCAAGGCAAGUUGCCAAGUUCAACUGUUGUCAAUCCGAGGGGAGGAGUCGAAACUGCCAAGGCCAUCAUGCUAAGGAGCGGAAAAGAAGUAAGAACCGAGCCAAAACCAUCCAAAUCUGCUCUCAAGGAGGACCAGAAGUUGCAAAUAGAAGAGGAGGAGCAAGCAAAAGCCACGGCAAGGAUUGAGCAAUCCUUGCCGCAACCACCCAUGCCAUCCAAUUCGGCCAAUAAGGGUAAGGAAGGUAUAAUUCAAGUUAAUUCUAAUGUUAUUCCUCCGGAUGUACCCUUUCCUAGCAGAUUUUUGCAAGCCAAGAACGAAGAAGAGGAAAAAGACGUUCUUGAGACGUUUAGAAAGGUGCAUGUCAAUAUCCCUCUCCUCGAUGCUAUAAAGCAAAUCCCGAAGUAUGCCAAGUUUUUGAAGAAGCUUUGUACGACAAGGAAACGGAUUCGGGAGAAAGAGGUGGUACACGUAAGUGAGAAUGUAUCGGCAUUGUUGCAAAGAAAGUUACCACCUAAAUGCAAAGAUCCAGGUAGUUUCACUAUCCCUUGUGUUAUUGGCAAUACGAGGUUUGAUCAUGCUAUGUUAGAUUUAGGUGCAUCUAUAAAUGUCAUGCCAUAUUCUGUUUAUGCAUCUAUGAAUCUAGGAAAGCUUAAAAAUGAUGGUGUUAUUAUUCAAUUAGCCGAUCGAUCUAAUGCAUAUCCCAAAGGAGUGUUGGAAGAUGUUUUGGUGCAGGUAGACCAUUUGAUUUUUCCUGCAGAUUUCUAUGUGCUUGAUAUGGAGGACUCAACCCACUCUCCACCAUCACCACUCUUGCUUGGACGACCAUUCAUGAAAACAGCUCAAACCAAGAUUGACGUGGCCAAGGGAGCAGUAACUAUGGCCUUUGGUGGUGAUAUGAUUAACUUUAAGGUUUCUGAAUCGGUAGAGAGUACUAAUGAUGUUCGUUCUUGUUGUGCUAUUAAUGUAAUUGAAAAUAUAGGGCAGGAAUGUUCAACACUAGUCAAGAAGAAUGUACCACAACCCACCAUCGAGGAAGGAAUUGGAGUGAACAACAAAGAGUGCACGGCCCCAACCUUGAAAUCACCAAAUCUGGCCGAGUGCACCCCUUGUGCAUAUAUCCAUAGUGCUACCACUUCUUUGCCGUACAAAGGUAAGCCACCUAUUCCAAUUUCGAUUCCCAUUUCGACUAAUAGGUUGUUACCUUGUAUGGUGCAGGUACCUAAUCGAAGACAACGUGGUGGGAGAGUUCGUGUUGAUUUAGAGAAGCAAAACAUGACAAUAAGAAAGGAUCAUUAUCCCAUCCCAUUCAAGGACCCAAAGAAUGAAGUAUUUCGUAGGACAGGUGGUGGAAAAACCCCUCCAUGCCGUGGGGUUCCAUAAACCUUCAAUGGAGCAUCGUCCGGCUGCAAGACGUUAAAGAAAGCGCUACUUGGGAGGCAACCCAUGCAUUCAACAAAGGAAGACCGAGAAAGCACUCCAAUUCCAGAUUUGCGUUCCUCAACUUUUCUCUUUGUUGUUUAUUUCGUUUCUGCCAUGAUUAGUGUGUUAGUUGCUGUUUGCUUGUUUAUUUGUUAUUUGUGUUAGUUUAUGCUUGAAACAUUGAGGACAAUGUUUGAUUUAAGUGUGGGGGGGUACACAAAGUGUUUUUGUGUCAAAUUCGUAGGAUUUUACCACCUAACAUUUCAAAGGUUGUUUUUCAUUGUUUUUAAGUGUUUUUAGAAAGUUUGGAUGUGUUUUUAUGUAGCUUUACCAAAAAAUCCGAAAAUUCAAGAAAAAAAUAGAAAAAGUUUUGAAAAAACCCAAAAAGAGUCGUUUUAAAGUUGUUUUUGUGUGUUUGUUUGUGUCUUAGGGUACCUUCCAACACAAUGAUGAGGAUUCGGUUUGUAAUUGCAUGAUUGUUAAAGAGAGUUAUAAACAUGGAUGAAAGUUUGAUUUACUCUUUGGUUUAUGCUUGGUUGUGGUUAUAACUUAUGACUUCACAUGUAAUCAUAAAGAAAAAAAUCAGUUUUUGUAACAUGCUUGAAGGAAGGAACUCAAACAAACGCUACAACCUUGUGAGACUUGAGCCUAAAUGUUUAUUUGGAGAGUUAAAAUCUGUGCAUUCUUGUUUUCUAAAGUCGUUGCAUGAUCUCAUUAUUCUUUGCUUGGUUACUACUUAGAAGGCGUUUCAUCAUUUAGUUCCAAACACUAGAACUCAUGCCAAUGUCAUUCAAAACAUGUUAUUGAAUUGCAUAACACAUAUUCAAGAUGAAGUUGUUUAGUAGUAGUACCACCAUAGCCAAAAAGCCUUCAUUCCAUGCAUUUGUUUUUGUAGGUUUAACCCCGUUGAGCCUUGUUUUAGCCUAUGUUGUUUGUUAUUAUCCUUACCUAGCCUAGAUUAGGACCAUCCAUACCUUUGUUCUUGAAGCAUAGUAAUAAAUGACUCAAAAUGAAUUCCUUUUGGUCAUUAUUGGCAGAAAAUAAGUGUGGGGGAAGUGAGUUUUGUUGUGGGUGUGCCAAAGUCUUGAAUGAGGCAUGAAAAAGAAAAAAAAAAUGAUGAAAUUCGUGGAAAAAGAAAAAGAAAAAGAAAAAAUGUGAAAAGUAUGAAAAAAGAGUUGAAAAGAUGUGAAAAAGAGUUCUAAAGUGUUGAUUGUUGAAGAAAGGGUCCAAAAAGUUGCAUUUGACCCUAAAUAUGCAUGCGUAUUCCCCUUUGUGUUUAAAGUUGUUUUCUGCACUCUAAAGUGAAUUUUAAGUGUCAAUUUCAUUGCUUUGCUUACUAUUGUUUUAAGAACGUUUGUUUAUCCUUUACCCUUCUUUGUUAGCCAAUACCCCAAGCCCCGUUACAACCCUUUACUUUAAUCUUGAGUGUUAUGUGUUUCAAUUUGUGGAGUUUAACAUUGGUAUGAGCAUAUGGUGUCACUGGUUCUCGCAUCUAAGUAGUAGCAUUCCAUUCAUGAGAUCAUAUUUAAACAUGUUGUUAACUCUGGAAAGUGCGUCCUUUGUCAUACAUAUAUGUGAGCAUUUGUUUUCAUAUUUACAUCAAUCUUCUCACAUAUAACUAGUAUAGGGUGUGUAGUCAGAAAUUCUGUGAAAAUUGAGUGCAUAUCUAGUAUAGAGGAAUUGAGCAAAUUCUCUAAGGCAUGUUACUACAUUCAAAACAACGUUUUAAUUGGUUAUUUGUGAACUAAUAAGUAGUGACUAUGAUUAAGUAUGUGCUUAAGCGUAAAGAUGGCUAAAAUCUGUGGGAAUGAUGAUUUUUAACAUGUCAUGUGCAUUGGAAAUCCCUGAGGCGAUUGUUGGAAGGUUUAGGUUGUGUUUUACUCGUUUUGUUUCGUUUAUUUACUUUGUUUCGUUUUGUUUUGCUCGAGGACUAGCAAAAGCUAAGUGUGGGGGAAUUUGAUAGGAGCAUAUUUAUGCGCCUUAGUUAGUUAGUUCUUAUGCAUUUAUGUUGUGUUUUCUUAGUUAAAUUAGUCUUUUAAGCUAUUUUCAUGUGUUUUCAGGUUUUAGAGACAAAGUGAGCAAAAGGAAGCAAUUUGGAGCAUUUUGGAGCAAAAUUGGGCUAGAAUGGAGUUCAUGCAUAUGUAGCACAAGGGAUGGACGAAUUUGAAGGAUUGAUGAAGCUAGGAAUGUGUUUUGAAGUUGAAGAAUUGAAGAUACAAAGUUUCCUAGUUGAAGUAGGAAAGGGCUUACACGAAGAAUUCCUAAAUGGAGAAGGAUUCCUAAUCAAUGUAGGAGUCCUAAAUGAAGAUGGAUUCCUAGAGACAUGAAGUUUCCUACUCAAGCAAGGUUUCCUACAUGAAGAAGAAGAAUUAAAGCCAAAGAAUCAGCUCAAGAUAAGGAAUCUAUCCAAAACCUCAUCAUAACCUUAUCUUAGCUUAACUUAUCCAAACAAACCUUAUCCUAUCUUAUCUUAUCCUAAUCCUAAAUUAUCCACAUUCCAGCCACUUAGGAGGGUUUCUAACUAGAUUAGGAUGCUUAAAAUGGGAUUUCUAGAAGACCUAAUCCUUUCCUACAAAGGUGCCACACCUUAUCCCUUGUUUUUUCUAGAAAUCAGCCACAAAACAACCUUUCUAGAAGGCCUUAUCCCUUGUCCUACAAAAGUGACGCCCCAAACCUUUCUAGAACUUCUAGAAACCUGAUUAUUCCUUUCCCCCUUGGUUUCUAAAAGCCUUAGCCUUUUCCUUCAAGGAUUGUGUGUUAUUAUCCUAUACAAAUUAGGCUUUUAAAUCCUUUUCCUUUGCUACAUAGGGGCUGCGAAUUUCAGCCUAUAAAUACCACCCUUGCUGCACCAUUUAGUCACCCUCCUCUACCAUAUUUUCACUACACCAUUCACCCAAACAUCCCUCAUUGUGCCGUGAGUUUGCAAGGAAAAGAAGGAAGAACUCUUGGAGCCGUGCAUGCCAUUCAAGGAGCUUGGAUUGUGGAGCGAUUCUAGGUGUUUUCUAUCUUUGUUAGAAUGUUUAAAUUUAUUUAUCUUUGUUUAUUUGCGAACAUGAGG